GAGUUUGAUCAUGGCUCAGAUUGAACGCUGGCGGCAGGCCUAACACAUGCAAGUCGAGCGGUAGAGAGAAGCUUGCUUCUCUUGAGAGCGGCGGACGGGUGAGUAAUGCCUAGGAAUCUGCCUGGUAGUGGGGGAUAACGCUCGGAAACGGACGCUAAUACCGCAUACGUCCUACGGGAGAAAGCAGGGGACCUUCGGGCCUUGCGCUAUCAGAUGAGCCUAGGUCGGAUUAGCUAGUUGGUGAGGUAAUGGCUCACCAAGGCGACGAUCCGUAACUGGUCUGAGAGGAUGAUCAGUCACACUGGAACUGAGACACGGUCCAGACUCCUACGGGAGGCAGCAGUGGGGAAUAUUGGACAAUGGGCGAAAGCCUGAUCCAGCCAUGCCGCGUGUGUGAAGAAGGUCUUCGGAUUGUAAAGCACUUUAAGUUGGGAGGAAGGGCAGUAAAUUAAUAACUUUGCUGUUUUGACGUUACCGUACAGAAUAAGCACCGGCUAACUCUGUGCCAGC
rnacentral:rRNA from 1 species